rnacentral:rRNA from 1 species
UUAUUUCACAAGAACAAAGAAGGGGAAUUUUGGACCUCUUGCCAUCAGAUGGACCCCAGAUAGGAUUAGCUAGUAGGUGGUGUAACGGCUCAUCAAGGCGACGUUCCCUAUCUUUUCUAAGAGGAUGACCAGCCACACUGGAUCUGUGACACGGUCCAGAUCCUACGGGAGGCAGCAGUGGGGAAUUUUGUACAAUGGGCGCAAGCCUGAUGCAGCCAUGCCGCGUGUUUGAAGAAGGCCUUCGGGUUUUAAAGCACUUUCAGCUGGGAGGAAGGGGAUAAGGUUAAUAACAUUGUCGAUUGACGUUACCCGCAGAAGAAGCACCGGCUAACUUCGUUCCAGCAGCCGCGGUAAUACGAAGGGUGCAAGCGUUAAUCGGAAUUACUGGGCGUAAAGCGCACGCAGGCGGUUUGUCAAGUAGGAUGUGAAAUCACCGGGCUCAACCUGGGAAGUGCAUUCGAAACUGUCAGGCUAGAGUAUGGCAGAGGGGGGUGGAAUUUCAGGUGUAGCGGUGAAAUGCGUAGAGAUAUGGAGGAAUACCAGUGGCGAAGGCGGCCCCCUGGACAAAGACUGACGCUCAGGUGCGAAAGCGUCUGGUGCAAACAGGAUUAUAUACCCUGGUAGUCCACCCCGUAAUCUAUAUUAACUUGGAGGUUGUGCCCUGAGACGUUAUUCCGCAGCUAACGCAUUAAUUCGUCCGCCUUGGAGGCGCCCCCUUUAC